GCCUUCUUAGCUCAGUCGGUAGAGCAUCAGACUUUUAAUCUGAGGGUCGUGGGUUCAAGUCCCACAGAGGGCG
rfam:Thelazia callipaeda genome assembly, scaffold: TCLT_contig0001607